rnacentral:rRNA from 1 species
GAUGAACGCUGGCGGCGUGCUUAACACAUGCAAGUCGAACGGUGAACGAGGGAGCUUGCUCCCUCCGGAUCAGUGGCGAACGGGUGAGUAACACGUGAGCAAUCUGCCCUGGACUCUGGGAUAAGCGUUGGAAACGACGUCUAAUACCGGAUACGAGGCGUGGGGGCAUCCCCAACGCCUGGAAAGAACUUCGGUCCAGGAUGAGCUCGCGGCCUAUCAGCUAGUUGGUGAGGUAACGGCUCACCAAGGCGACGACGGGUAGCCGGCCUGAGAGGGUGACCGGCGACACUGGGACUGGGACACGGCGCCGACUCCUACGGGAGGCAGCAGUGGGGAAUAUUGCACAGAGGGCGCAAGCCUGAUGCAGCAACGCCGCGUGAGGGACGACGGCCUUCGGGUUGUAAACCUCUUUUAGCAGGGAAGAAGCGAAAGUGACGGUACCUGCAGAAAAAGCACCGGCUAACUACGUGCCAGCCGCCGCUGUAAUAC